rnacentral:rRNA from 1 species
UACGUAGGGGGCAAGCGUUGUCCGGAUUUAUUGGGCGUAAAGAGCUCGUAGGCGGCUUGUCACGUCGGAUGUGAAAGCCCGAGGCUUAACCUCGGGUCUGCAUUCGAUACGGGCUAGCUAGAGUGUGGUAGGGGAGAUCGGAAUUCCUGGUGUAGCGGUGAAAUGCGCAGAUAUCAGGAGGAACACCGGUGGCGAAGGCGGAUCUCUGGGCCAUUACUGACGCUGAGGAGCGAAAGCGUGGGGAGCGAACAGG